UACGUAGGGGGCUAGCGUUGUCCGGAAUCAUUGGGCGUAAAGAGCGUGUAGGCGGUCCGGUAAGUCCGUUGUGAAAGUCAGGGGCUCAACCCUUGAAUGCCGGCGGAUACUGUCGGGCUAGAGUCCGGAAGAGGCGAGUGGAAUUCCCGGUGUAGAGGUGAAAUUCGUAGAUAUCGGGAGGAACACCAGUGGCGUAGGCGACUCGCUGGCUCACUACUGACGCUGAGACGCGAAAGCGUGGGGAGCAAACAGG
rnacentral:rRNA from 1 species